ACGAUGACGGAGCAUCAUUGCAGAUAUUUGAUAGGCACACGAUUUUAUUACCCUGUCCUUGCAGAGGAGGCCAACUAUUCUCGAAAAUCAAAUCAAGAAAAAUGGAAGUUGGACGUAUGUAGGUCAUCAUUCCAGCUAUGGGAGAUGUCGCAUUUAUGUUUCAUACUAAUCCUAUUGCUUGAUAACCAGUCGUAGGUGGUUCGAUGUAGGCGCACAGCAUUGACAUAUAUACGAGACAAUAUAAAUGUUUUUCUAAAUUUGUGAUUAAACAUAUAUUUGACAUCGGCUUUGUUUAUAUCACUUUACCGCCUUAACUAAUAGCACCGUGAAUGGAUUAUAGAGUUAGCCGCCAACGUUUGUUGUUAUGCACACAUUUGACCCUGUUUCUUUUCAACAAUGUGAGUAAUCGUGGCCUUUUCUGUAACUGGUUAGGUAAUGCAGUACGACGUGGUCCUUGGCUUUCCAUGUCGGAUUUUGAUGGACAAGUUGGGUUUUUACUGAGAGAAGUUUUUAUUUUUUACUUUAGAUAGUGUUCCAUUGUUACUAUCUUAAGCUAACCAGUAUUGCUUUAAACAUACCCUAUGUAGUUGAUAGUGACGAUCCCGUCGUUCCACUUUAUGCUACGUUACAUCAACUUGAAUUGUUUCUAUUUAGAUGCAACUGUUUGCAGAGGAAGCUUCAAUAGGUUAGUGCAGAACAUUGUUGCAAAGCAUUAUUCCAAGUAAUAAAUGACAUUUUUUUUUUAGUUUUUUUAAUGUCAAGUAAAUAAUAUUUAUUGAUUUGUAUAUGGAGUCUGUGACUGUUGAAAUAACGAACAUAUGUAAACCACUCCGUGGAGUAUGACUGCUACUAUACACGAAGAGGAUCUUAGUCAUUUUUGAAGAGAACCGAUAGGUCAACUGUUUAUUGGAUGGCUGAACUUUACUAGCUCAUGGGCAACAAAGGGCCACAAUGCAAAUGAACGUAGAGAAGAGAUGCCCACCUAACAAGUUACUUGUCCACAUAUGUGAUGAAACGGCCUUGCUUUUCCGAUAUUCGGCAUCUCCAAAAUUACAUAGGAUUAACGAUUUCCAUCGUUGUAAAUAUGCCGCUUCUAACUUAACCUUUGGUUUCGCAUAUCCUCUUAGGGGAAAACUUUGUACCCCUCGAACCGUAAAGAUUAUCUCAUAUUUGGAAUACCCGAAAUUCUCGAAAAUCCUCGAUAAACUAUUUGCUACAUGUCUGCAACGAAAGACAUUGUAUUUUAGCAGUGGAACGUCGUAAAUACACUUUAGAUAUAUCAGCUGAGAAUGCGUUGUCGUCAUUUGUUAUUUCUCCACUUUUUUGUUUUUCCGUAAAUAGCGUAUUUAUCAGACGACACCAAGUCUAUAUGCGUAAUUGAAUUAGACAGGGAAACAUAGAGGCCAUUAACGGUAACUUUUUAAGGCAUACGGUAAGAAACGCAGCUGUUCUCUGACCCCUUUUGAACAUACAAAUAGAAAGUGGAUCGGAAGAAAUACUGAAUGACGAGAUCUUUUUGUGGAAGAGUUAAUGUUACGUUGCUCUGUCGUACAUCGUUCGAAAGUUUUUUUUUUUUUCUGUGACUGGACAUUUCCUGAAUUGUUGUUAUCUGAAGCUACGGAUAGUUCUUAACCCAUUGGAUCGAGCAACUUUUACCUGGCUGAGCUCGAAUUACCUCAUGCCUCGAACGCUAAUGUGUCACUUUAAUGAUAGCUUUUAAUAUCUAUAAUCUUAAAUCUAUUACCAACGUCAGGUAGGCUAUGUGUGUGUCUUGUGGGACAAGACAGGUGGUGACGGUGGAUGAUAAAUAUAGCCUGAAUCAAAGUUUAGGCCUUCUCAUUUAUUCCAAUAUCUCUGAAAAAAAUUUCCAGCUAUUCAACUUCGUCUAAUGAAGUACGUUUAUUCUGAUAAUCUACUUCGGUUACCAUAUUUUUUUGCCAGACAAAUUACGUUUGUCUUUAUCGAUUUCCCAAUCAGCUCUGCUUGUUUCUUAAUGAGCUGCUUCUUUCAAAACCAAAUGCUUCCUAUAUUAUCUGCGUGGUGCUUAGCUGUUCGGCGGGUCGGAGAUUACACGUAUAUACAUACAUACAUACAUACAUACAUACACAUGCAACGCAAACGGCACAUCGAUCUAUACAUGCAAUAAUAGCACAUCACCAAAUGGAUCAUCCCAACGGAAUCUUAGCCAGCUAACUAGCGAUUGCCAGCUGGUAAAUCCGCCAAACUGCCAUCCAGCCUGGUCUUCCACCAUUGUUGCUGUCGUUGUUCUUGUCCUUCGCGAAGAUUUUGUAGAUGUCCAUCAAUCUUGCUUCCUUUACCCCACGUCUGGCCAUCUCUGCUUUUUUAUUCUGCCUGCCUGUCUCUUUGUCCGUUGGUUUCUCCGCCAGCUAGUCGGUCGUAGCGUAAACGUAUCUCCAGACAAUGAAGGCAGCACGUAUAUUCACUUCCCUACGUCACGCUACUAUCCGAUAGUUGACGAUAACACGCCAAUAGCACGACAACUGUAAGGCAGUGUGGCAAGACGGCAAUGCACCGGUAUGAACUUACAUAAUUUUGAUGAUUUCAAUGAUGGCUGUGGUUCCUGUAGGGGUAGCAACUGAGUAAGCAGGAAAGACGUUGUCUGCUCAUUGCUUUACUGUCGACGACACGCUGUCGAUCAUCGCCGCUCUGUGCUGAGUUCUGUAGUCUAUAAUGAUUAGAUGACUCGGAAGACUCCGCUGGUCGCAAAAACAGGGGGACAAUCAGCAGAAGUGGCGUCAACGGAGACGCGGUAAAACAGACUAGUCAGAAGUUCCUUCACAAGGAUGCUUUCUCCCUUUGACACACACUCGAUCGCUCGUUACUACGCUUUCCUGUGGCAAAUCCCUUCCACCGUUUCAGCUGCUAGCGGUAUAAGUACAUAUUCGUAUGUAGACGGCACCACCACCCCGUGUCUGCCAACUGUCGGCUUCAGGUUCGACAUGGGCCAAGUGCCAACUGAAAUCCUAACCGUAACCGUAAUCACGAUUGAAACGUGUCUCCGUGGGCCUGUUUUUCGGCGGAUGCAGCAGUAGCCGCGGCAGCGAGCGAAAACGCCAAGUCGCGUGGGUGGAACAAGAAAAAAGCGCACGGCCUAUUUCUCUUCUCAUCUUUAUCUAUGACCACUUUCCACCAUCAACGUGUCAUCACAGAUGUUGCUUAAGAUAUUGCCGCUGCUGUUUCUGCCUUAGUCGUCAUCGUAUAAUUGUGUCCGUGAACGUGUACUUGCCAACUAGCUGGCUGGUAGUUGCGUGUGUGUUCAUGUCAAUAUGCAGACAGCGCGAGUGCGCGCUGAUCCUCUGGCAGCGGGCUGUUAGUAACAUUGAGUUGUGCCGUGUUUAUGGGACAUGUUCUUCUCUGCGUAUUGUCUCCACAUGCCUCUGUACAUACAUCCAUACAUACACACGCGCACGUCAUAAAUGAACGUUACAAUACCGACACGGGACUCACAGCAGAGAACUACCCACAGUCACAGCCGCAAUACCAGCGUACGACGCCACACCAGACCAAACCCAGUUAUAACGUAUCACGUCGAAUCAAUCGUGCACCGAUGAUUCAACAGCAAUAACGCUGAUGUGUUGGCCGUUUUGGCAGUAGCGCUGGUGACGAUAUGAAUUUGCUAGGUCGCGGUUGUGGCAGGUCUUCCUUGUCGUUCUGCUUUUGUUCCUGUUGUUCCCGGCACCAUUCGUUCUGUUGAGGCCGUUGUUGACACCAACAGGAAGGUAGCGAUGGGCAGAGCAGCAACGGCAAUCAAAAUAUUAGUCCUAUAAUCGCCACGUGGGUUUUAUUGUAUCUACGACACGCCAUAGCUAGCGUUAAUAGUAUAAUAAUAGGACUGCUGCUGCUGCCGUCGUUGCUCUUAUUGACGCUACCGGCUUCAGUGGACGUCACCAGCGCAACUGUACACACACUUAUUAGAAAUAUUGUUAUUAUUCCUCGGAAGAAACAAUUCUGGUCGAGACUGGGCGGAAUCCACCGGCCGCUGACUCGACAUUUCAUUAACGAAUCAACUAGGCAAUUGCAACAGCUAUUCAUACAUGGAGGCGCCAACGACGAUCCUAACAACGCCAGCCAUAGUGACAACAGACAGACGACAGACCCCGGCUAACGUAAGAAAAAAAGUAUUUCAUAUCGCUGUUUUUUUUGUUAGCUUCCAUAAGACUUCCCUUUAUGCCAAUAUUCCUUCGCUGGAUGUGUAUAUAUGAGUAGAGGCGGAUGGCUGCCUGGGUUAUCUGUGUUCAUGUACGUGCACACGGAUGUACAUAUAAUAUGCAUACGUUGCAGCCGAUGUCGCUGGUGCUGGCCCUAGUCUUUCCGUAAAGUGAUCAUAUUAUUGAAUAACAAGGAACAAAGAGGAAAACGGCGACAGGAGUAAUGAAUGCAAAUUUAGCUUAUAUUUGUGUUACCGUGAAUGGACGCAAGAGGAGUGAAUCAAAUACUGAAAGCGGGAUACGACGCGUUGUUUAAUGCCAAGGACAACAAACGCUAUUAGAGACACAAUGUCGAUUCGAGUAGGGAUAGACGGAACAAGCGCGCCUUUUCGGAAGCUGAGAGAUCCCCUUUUGUACAUAUACGUUAUACAUUUAUGCACCUGCAUCUGCUUUAUGAUGUAUCUCAUCGGCGAGUAUAAGGCUUAUUUUGACAAUCGUGUCUAUAAACCUAUGGAAAUAAUUGUAUCAAGAAAGCCAAUACUACGGAGACAAUUAGAAAGCGAAGUUACGAGGAACGACAAAGGUCUGAUCUGACUCUCGACCCAAAUUAGCAAUAAGAAGCGGCAGGAAAACGUAAUAAACAACAGGCAGCUUAUAUCUGUAACCGUUAUAUAUGGUUCAAACGUGAAACAAUGCACCAUUAGAAUAACAACAGCAACAUCCUAAUAUUCACAGUAAUUUUAUAUAUAUGCGAUUUAUAUAUAUACGCAUACAUAUAUAAAGCAUUUGUAAAAAAAAGCAGUAGGCCAUUGAAAUUUAGUUUAUGCAAAGGUAUAGG